UACGGGGGGAGCAAACGUUGCUCGGAAUUAUUGGGCGUAAAGCGCACGUAGGCGGCUAUCUAAGUCGGAUGUGAAAUCCCUCGGCUUAACCAAGGAAGUGCACCCGAAACUGGAUAGCUUGAGUACAGAAGAGGAUCGCGGAAUUCCCGGUGUAGAGGUGAAAUUCGUAGAUAUCGGGAGGAACACCAGUGGCGAAGGCGGCGAUCUGGGCUGAUACUGACGCUGAGGUGCGAAAGCGUGGGGAGCAAACAGG
rnacentral:rRNA from 1 species